rnacentral:lncRNA from 1 species
CUUACUCGCUGGGAAAGCAUGGUUGCCUCUCCCAUUCCCAGCAGGAGAACGAGGGGCAAGCAGGGCCAAGGCUCAUCGGGACAGCCAGAAACCAGGCUCCAGGACCACAGGCCCAGCACCACAGGGCUGCUGACUUUAAUCCAUCUCGGUGCAACUGGACUUUAUUCUCCAGCAAGAGCUCAGGAGCCUUCUUCCUCCUAAAGGUCAAGGCAAGAACACAUAAGCGUCCGCUCCCAAGUACUCUCACACAACACACACACUCACACAAUAUAUUCACACAGCACACUCAUACAACACACACUCGCACACUUACACAACAUACCACUCAUACAUGCUCACAGCAUACUCACAUACAUACCUGUUCUCACACUCACACACUUCUCACACACUCACACACACAUGCAGUGGGGAGGGGUGGGGGAGUCCCCUGCCCUGGAUCCUGCCAAGAACAGGCCACAAAUUCUGUUUUCACGUAACCCAAAUCUCGGUCCCCUCACUAAAUAUCAGCCUAUUUUUAGUUACUUAAAGCUCUUUCCUGGCUGUGUUCCUCCUUUCUGACAUCAAACACAAUUUUUAGUCUGUGUCUUACCCCACAAAUCUCUCACCUUAUUCUCUUCUCUGUGC